AAGAGAAAUGUUACUGUAAAUAUUUUCAAUGAAUGCCUUCUUGACAACACUAGUAUAACAGUUUUUCGGUUUUGUUUGUUUGGCCAUGCCUGCAGCAUGUGCAAGUUCUCAGGCCAGGGAUGAAAUUCACACUUCAGUAGCAACCCAUGCUGCAAUAGUGACAACCCCAGAUCCUUAACCUGCUGUGCCACAAGGGAACUCCAACAGUCUCUUAAUAUAUAAAGUGUCCCCUCCACCAACCAAUAAAGAAAACUGAGGCAAAAUGCAAAAGACAUUUCUUCAGAUACUUUGCACAUAAACUGUUCUUUUUACCAGUUAACUUCAGAAUGUAGGGGGAUCUCGGACUUCCCGUCUGGCUCACAGCAUAACUACUCUGCGUUGCUCUGACAAAAUGUAGAGGAUCUGUCAAAAACCUCGCCUAGCAUAUUCCCAAAGAGUUCACCUAACUGUGUGCAUGUAUUGCUCUUGGAAUCCUAAUCAGUUCCGCCCACCCAGUGACUCAAACUGAAAUAUUAAGAGAUACGAACAGCUGCGCUCAUCCACCACACCAAGAAUAGCUUUCAGGAAACCAAGCUCCAGUCGGAAAACUCCAUUUAGUAAUAACCCUUCUCAACUUGAGAGAACACACGAUGGGAAACUCCUCUCAGUCAUACAAAUGCCUGAAAAAGCUUUUCUCCCAGAAGUAAACAAUGGAAUAUUACUCAGCCAUAAAAAGAAUAAAACAAUGGCAUUUGCAGCACAUGGAUGGACCUAGAGAUUAUCAUACUAAGUGAAGUCAGAUAGUGAGGACAAACAUCAUAUGAUAUCACUUAAAUGUGGAAUCUAAAAAAAGGAUACAAAUGAAUUUAUUUGCACAACAGAAAGAGACACAAACUUUGGAAAACUUAUGGUUACCAAUGGAACAGGUGAGGGGGAGGGAGGAGUGGACUGGGGGUUUAGGAUGGAAAUGGUCUAAAGUUAGUUUGUGAAGAUGGUUAUUAUACAACUGUAAAUAAAAUUCAUUUAAUUAUUUGAAAAUAAAGGGAGGGAACAUUCUCAGAUUACAGUUCACACACCAUGACGCCCAGGCCAGAGGGUGCAGAUCUGAACUGAAACACUAAGUCAUCCCAAGCCUGGGCUCUCUCCUCUUUCCAGUGGCUUCCUCACUCUCCUGUCCCAUCCUACCCUAAACCUCCCAUCCAUGGGUAGAAAUACAGCCAAGUUGAGGGGUGGGGCAACAGUAGGUCCAAAAAAAACCACAAAGCAUGACAUCUGACAAGUGUCCACUGGCAGAGACACAAACCUGCUAGGGGACAGAGUGAAAAAAUCCUGGGAGGGGGUGUUCCCACGGUGGCUUAGCAGUAAUAAACCUGACUAGUAUCCAUGAGGAUACGGGUUCAAACCCUGGCCUUGCUCAGGGGGUUAAGGACCCAGUGUUGUGUGAGCUGUGGUGUAGGUUGCAGACGAGGCUCAGAUCCCGAGUUGCUGCGGCUGUGGUGUAGGCCAGCAGCUGCAGCUCUGAUUCAACCCCUAGCCUGGGAACUACCAUAUGCUGCCAGCGCAACCCUAAAAAAGCAAAAAAAAAAAAA
rnacentral:lncRNA from 1 species